rnacentral:rRNA from 1 species
AACGAACGCUGGCGGCAUGCCUAACACAUGCAAGUCGAACGAGAUCUUCGGGUCUAGUGGCGCACGGGUGCGUAACGCGUGGGAAUCUGCCCUUUGGUUCGGAAUAACAGUUGGAAACGAUUGCUAAUACCGGAUGAUGACGAAAGUCCAAAGAUUUAUCGCCAGAGGAUGAGCCCGCGUAGGAUUAGCUAGUUGGUGUGGUAAAGGCGCACCAAGGCGACGAUCCGUAGGUGGUCUGAGAGGAUGAUCAGCCACACUGGGACUGAGACACGGCCCAGACUCCUACGGGAGGCAGCAGUGGGGAAUAGUAGACAAUGGGCGAAAGCCUGAUCCAGCAGUGCCGCGUGAGUGAUGAAGGCCUUAGGGUUGUAAAGCUCUUUUACCCGGGAUGAUAAUGACAGUACCGGGAGAAUAAGCUCCGGCUAACUCCGUGCCAGCCGCCGCAGUAA